GCUCAGGUUUCUGCACCGGAGAGAGAAGAGCUUCAGCUAAAGAAGGAUGCUUCAUGUCAAACCGACCUUCAAGGCGACAGACAGACAUGGGUCAAGCAGCCGUGGCAGGAGCUCGCCAACCCUCUCAAAAGGAGCUCCCUCACAGAAGCUUCACCUGAAGCUGUGAAGUGCUACAGCGUGUACCUGCAGGAACAGAAACUGCAGUUGCAGAAGAAACUGUACCGUUCCAAAGCUAAGCUGCAGGAAUUAAAAGAACGGCAUACCCGGACUGAGUGUUAUGCCGAGUACCUGAAGGAUGCCAUCAGGAGGAACGA